rnacentral:rRNA from 1 species
AUUGAACGCUGGCGGCAGGCCUAACACAUGCAAGUCGAACGGUAACAGGAAGCAGCUUGCUGCUUUGCUGACGAGUGGCGGACGGGUGAGUAAUGUCUGGGAAACUGCCCGAUGGAGGGGGAUAACUACUGGAAACGGUAGCUAAUACCGCAUAACGUCGCAAGACCAAAGAGGGGGACCUUCGGGCCUCUUGCCAUCGGAUGUGCCCAGAUGGGAUUAGCUAGUAGGUGGGGUAAAGGCUCACCUAGGCGACGAUCCCUAGCUGGUCUGAGAGGAUGACCAGCCACACUGGAACUGAGACACGGUCCAGACUCCUACGGGAGGCAGCAGUGGGGAAUAUUGCACAAUGGGCGCAAGCCUGAU